rnacentral:rRNA from 1 species
UGAGCAAUCUGCCCUUCUCAUCGGAAUAAGCGUUGGAAACGACGUCUAAUGCCGAAUACGACCUCCUUUCGCAUGAUCGGAGGUGGAAAGCUCCGGCGGAGAAGGAUGAGCUCGCGGCCUAUCAGCUAGCUGGUGUGGGUAAUGGCCCACCAAGGCGACGACGGGUAGCCGGCCUGAGAGGGUGACCGGCCACACUGGGACUGAGACACGGCCCAGACUCCUAGGGAGG